rnacentral:rRNA from 1 species
UAAACCAUGCACCGAAGCUGCGGCAGCGAACGUAUCACUUAAAGCGAUUCAGCGGGUUACGAUUGACGGAGCGAAGCGACGUCAAAGCGUAUACAAAGUCGAGUCGGUUUAAGGAUACGUUCGUUGGGUAGGGGAGCGUUCUGUAAGCCUGUCACUCAGGUGUUGUUGGGUAGGGGAGCGUUCUGUAAGCCUGCGAAGGUGGCCUGUGAGGGUUGCUGGAGGUAUCAGAAGUGCGAAUGCUGACAUAAGUAACGAUAAAGCGGGUGAAAAGCCCGCUCGCCGGAAGACCAAGGGUUCCUGUCCAACGUUAAUCGGGGCAGGGUGAGUCGACCCCUAAGGCGAGGCCGAAAGGCGUAGUCGAUGGGAAACGGGUUAAUAUUCCCGUACUUGGUGUUACUGCGAAGGGGGGACGGAGAAGGCUAUGUUGGCCGGGCGACGGUUGUCCCGGUUUAAGCGUGUAGGUGUGUGUUCCAGGUAAAUCCGGUUCACUUUAACACUGAGGCGUGACGACGAGGCACUACGGUGCUGAAGCAACAAAUGCCCUGCUUCCAGGAAAAGCCUCUAAGCAUCAGGUAACAUCAAAUCGUACCCCAAACCGACACAGGUGGUCAGGUAGAGAAUACCAAGGCGCUUGAGAGAACUCGGGUGAAGGAACUAGGCAAAAUGGUGCCGUAACUUCGGGAGAAGGCACGCUGACACGUAGGUGAAGUGAUUUACUCAUGGAGCUGAAGUCAGUCGAAGAUACCAGCUGGCUGCAACUGUUUAUUAAAAACACAGCACUGUGCAAACACGAAAGUGGACGUAUACGGUGUGACGCCUGCCCGGUGCCGGAAGGUUAAUUGAUGGGGUCAGCGCAAGCGAAGCUCCUGAUCGAAGCCCCGGUAAACGGCGGCCGUAACUAUAACGGUCCUAAGGUAGCGAAAUUCCUUGUCGGGUAAGUUCCGACCUGCACGAAUGGCGUAAUGAUGGCCAGGCUGUCUCCACCCGAGACUCAGUGAAAUUGAACUCGCUGUGAAGAUGCAGUGUACCCGCGGCAAGACGGAAAGACCCCGUGAACCUUUACUAUAGCUUGACACUGAACAUUGAGCCUUGAUGUGUAGGAUAGGUGGGAGGCUUUGAAGUGUGGACGCCAGUCUGCAUGGAGCCGACCUUGAAAUACCACCCUUUAAUGUUUGAUGUUCUAACGUGGACCCGUAAUCCGGGUUGCGGACAGUGUCUGGUGGGUAGUUUGACUGGGGCGGUCUCCUCCUAAAGAGUAACGGAGGAGCACGAAGGUUGGCUAAUCCUGGUCGGACAUCAGGAGGUUAGUGCAAUGGCAUAAGCCAGCUUGACUGCGAGCGUGACGGCGCGAGCAGGUGCGAAAGCAGGUCAUAGUGAUCCGGUGGUUCUGAAUGGAAGGGCCAUCGCUCAACGGAUAAAAGGUACUCCGGGGAUAACAGGCUGAUACCGCCCAAGAGUUCAUAUCGACGGCGGUGUUUGGCACCUCGAUGUCGGCUCAUCACAUCCUGGGGCUGAAGUAGGUCCCAAGGGUAUGGCUGUUCGCCAUUUAAAGUGGUACGCGAGCUGGGUUUAGAACGUCGUGAGACAGUUCGGUCCCUAUCUGCCGUGGGCGCUGGAGAACUGAGGGGGGCUGCUCCUAGUACGAGAGGACCGGAGUGGACGCAUCACUGGUGUUCGGGUUGUCAUGCCAAUGGCACUGCCCGGUAGCUAAAUGCGGAAGAGAUAAGUGCUGAAAGCAUCUAAGCACGAAACUUGCCCCGAGAUGAGUUCUCCCUGAGACUUAGAGUCUCCUGAAGGAACGUUGAAGACGACGACGUUGAUAGGCCGGGUGUGUAAGCGCAGCGAUGCGUUGAGCUAACCGGUACUAAUGAACCGUGAGGCUUAACCUU